CCAACCUGCAGCCAGUUGUUGAGGCAGCCCCGUGUCUGCGCGGCCUGUUCCCUCACUGGGAGUCAUCUAAUCUCAUCUAAACUCUGCUGUCUCUCCACAGGUGUCCUCCUCGGUAGUAUAGUGUGGUGAAAUCAACAUUAAUCCCAUGUGGUAAGAGGGUUCCAGGCUGAACUGCUGUGCUUUUCCAGCACCAUACUCUUCAACUGCGAUCUCCAGCAUCUGCUGUGCUCACUUUCCCGUAGUUAGUAAUAACACGGUUGGAGUGAGACAAGUGUUGCGGGACUGGCCUGU